UCUCUGGUGGCCUAGCAGUUAAGGGUCUGACAUUGUCAAUGCUGUGACACAGGUUCGAUUCCUGUCCCCAGGA
rnacentral:tRNA from 1 species